rnacentral:rRNA from 1 species
UACGUAGGGCGCGAGCGUUGUCCGGAAUUAUUGGGCGUAAAGAGCUCGUAGGCGCCUGUUGCGUCCGCUGUGAAAUCCCCGGGCUCAACCCGGGAACUGCGUCCGAUACUGGCAGGCUUGAAUCCGGGAGAGGGAUGUGGAAUUCCAGGUGUAGCGGUGAAAUGCGUAGAUAUCUGGAGGAACACCGGUGGCGAAGGCGGCAUCCGUGGACCGAGAUUGACGCUGAUGCGCGAAAGCCAGGGGAGCAAAGCGGGAU